CUUUUUGGAGAGUUUGAUCCUGGCUCAGGACGAACGCUGGCGGCGUGCCUAAUACAUGCAAGUCGAGCGGACCUCUUCGGAGGUCAGCGGCGGACGGGUGAGUAACACGUGGGCAACCUGCCU
rnacentral:rRNA from 1 species